UGAGGUUUCCGCGCGCACCCGGCUGCGCCCGCUCUUCCGAGGCCUCAGGGUCCGGCGAUGGCUCCUCCAUGGGCAUGGGCCAGAUAGACGAGGCGACACCAGCAGCGGCCUUCAGCGUGCGCAGGGGACGGAGCUGACCGCCCCCACCGGGUAGGUUUCCGCUGCGCACGAUAUGCUCAGCCCCCUUGGCAUCAUGACUGGAGCGCCCACCCCGGAGACGUCUCCAGAGCGAGGGAAAAAGAAUUAGGGUUGCUGCAGCUGGCACGCGGAGAGCAAUUGCAGGGUCUGGCGCAGCCUGGGAGGGCCUGCGACCCCGGCGGUGUUCUCUGGGCGGGCGGGCUUCGCUGCGGCCCCGCUCGUGGCGGUGGCUGCUUCCUGCCGGAGGACCGCGGGGACCCCAAAAGGGCGUCCCCCGCGCGGCCAGGGCCGGGAUCUGCGCAGGGAUGACAGUGUUGCAGCGAGCUUGCCUCCCUACCCCUUGUCCGCUUCCGUGGCGCCGCGAGGCCGACAGAAAGGCUGGAGCCGGGCGUGUGCGAGUCCAGGUUUGCCUUGCACUGAUUUUGGCCUGAGGUCCAGGAUGGUUUGUUCUUGGGACCAGACCUGACCAGAAGUCGACCUCAUGAGCACUUCAAGCUCUCCAGCUGCCAUGCUCCUCCGGAGGCUGAGGCGGCUCUCCUGGGGCAGCACUGUUGUCCAGCUCUUCAUCUUAACGGUGGUGACCUUUGGUCUGCUGGCCCCCCUGGCCUGUCACCGGCUUCUGCAUUCUUACUUCUACCUGCGCCACUGGCAUCUGAACCAAAUGAGCCAAGAGUUCCUGCAGCAAAGCUUGAAAGAGGGUGAAGCUGCCCUCCACUACUUUGAGGAGCUGCCCUCUGCCAAUGGCUCGGUGCCCAUUGUCUGGCAGGCCACUCCCCGCCCCUGGCUGGUCAUCACCAUCAUCACUGUGGACAGGCAACCUGGCUUCCACUACGUCCUGCAGGUGGUGUCCCAGUUCCACCGGCUCCUUCAACAAUGCGGCCCCCAGUGUGAGGGGCACCAACUCUUCCUGUGCAACGUGGAGCGGAGUGUGAGCCAUUUCGAUGCCAAGCUGCUGUCCAAGUACGUCCCUGUGGCCAACCGCUAUGAGGGCACUGAAGAUGACUACGGCGACGACCCUUCGACCAACUCGUUUGAGAAAGAGAAGCAGGACUACGUCUAUUGCCUGGAAUCCUCCCUGCAGACCUACAACCCAGACUACGUCCUGAUGGUGGAAGACGACGCCGUUCCAGAAGAGCAGAUCUUCCCAGUCUUGGAGCACCUUCUGCGGGCUCGUUUCUCCGAGCCGCACCUCAGAGAUGCCCUUUAUCUAAAGCUCUAUCACCCCGAGAGGCUCCAGCACUACAUCAACCCAGAGCCCAUGAGGAUCCUGGAGUGGGUCGGUGUCGGCAUGUUGCUGGGGCCCUUACUAACCUGGAUAUACAUGCGGUUUGCCAGCCGGCCGGGGUUUAGCUGGCCCGUCAUGCUCUUCUUCUCCCUGUAUAGCAUGGGGCUGGUGGAGCUGGUGGGCCGGCACUAUUUCCUGGAGCUGCGGCGGCUGAGUCCUUCCCUGUACAAUGUGGUCCCUGCUUCACAGUGUUGCACCCCGGCCAUGCUCUUCCCUGCCCCGGCGGCCCGGCGGACCCUCACCUACCUGUCCCAGGUGUACUGCCACAAGGGCUUCGGCAAGGACAUGGCACUGUACUCACUGUUGAGGGCCAAGGGGGAGCGGGCGUAUGUGGUGGAGCCCAAUCUCGUGAAACACAUCGGGCUCUUCUCCAGCCUUCGGUACAACUUGCACCCAAGUCUGCUCUAGCCUGCCAAGAAAUGCCGUUCUGAACUUGGCCACUUCUUGGAGAUUCAACUGUUGAGCUCUUUACUUGGACGUGGUUGCUUGCCGAUAUUUCAUUGUUUUAGGGUUGCUAGGGAUAUAGACACUGGGAUGGCUGAGGAACAUACAAGUCCAGAACCUUGGCUUUGGUAACUCUCUGGCAGGAGCAAGCUGUUCACCGUGGGUCCAGACCUCUCGCCCUCCACACAGCCACACUGCCUCAUGCAGUCUGACCCACCCAAAGAAGGGCAUUUAAACACCACUUAUAUUCUCCAGUUGUUUUUCACUCUGCUUCACGACAGAGUUUGUGACUGCCAAAAAUAUUGUACACAGUGAUAUGACCAGUUUAGGAUUUUAAGCGUAGAAUUUGGUGAAAGCAUGAUGUUAUAGAAGAAAAAGCAUGGACUGAAGUCAGAAGACCUGAAUUUUUAUUUCAGAUCUCUGUUAGAUCCCAGUGGUGUGAACUUGGGCAAGUCAUAAGCACUCUGCAUCUCAGGUUUGUCACCUGUAAAAUGGGGACAGUGAUAUCUACUUUUUUACGUUGCCUUGAGGAUUAAAUGACAAAAUGUAUGUAGAACACUAGCAAGUGCUUAUCUCACAGAGGGCACUUGGUGAAUAUUAGUUCUUCUCUCUCCUAUAAUAAGCAUAUGAAACUCAAGUGUAUUUUGGAUAAAGGUAUUAAUGAUGUUAUUUAAAGUAUGAUAUGGGGCAUAGGGCUGACACCUAUGGAGCAGUUGUUCCAGACCAAACACUGCUAGGAUAAAGGCUGACUUUUCCUUGUGACUUCGGAAGGAUAUGCAGCUCAAGAUAAGAAUUGUUCAUUCAACUGGCAGUGAUCUGAGACUCCUCUUGAGCUUAUUCCAAGACUAGCAUCUGAAAACUACUCUUCUCAAAAGUUACAAGUAAAUUUCAUUUGACAAUACUUAUCACACCAGUGGCCAACUGUCCCUUUGUGGGGAUGGAUGAUUAUAUUAGAGUGCAAGCAGCUGUCCAGUUUGUUUCAGUGCCACAUCUUCCCUUUGCUUUUAAGUUUCCACAGUGAGCUAACAUCUUGGGAUCUGCUCGAGAACACUGAGAGAGUAACAGGGGUUCAUCACCACACUUUAUAGAUGAACAAACAGGCCCCGAAAUAUUAAAGGAUUUCUUCAGGUUCACACAGCUGAACAGCAACAGAGAGGACUGGAAUGUAGUAGAUUUUCUGACUUCCAGCCCCUGUACUUUUUUCUUAACUGCAUUCAUUUUAUAAAUAUCUAUGUAGUCAAAUUCUCUUUUGUGAAAUCUGAUUGUAACCUGGACUAAAUAAUGUCUCUGUAAGCUAAGGUGGUAAAACCUCACUGUGGUGUUGGUCUUGGGGAACAAACAGGUAUCAAUAUGUGUUGUGUUAUUAUAGUGAGCUGUUAUGUAUCCCCCAGGAAUGUACAAAGUGACUAGAGCUACUAGAUUACUUAUUGAGAUUCUCAGAUUCCACCCCUUCAUCUCUCCUCGCCCAGUAACUGGUUCAGCCCCAUGUUUGAGAAGAGAACCACCCUCAACCUAGAGUUCAUUUGAGUUUGUUGCAUUAGUGAUUGGAUCUCCUCAUGAAAAUUUGUGUCCAAUGACAAAACAUGUAAGCUGGCCAAGCCCUAGAUCAGAAUCAUUGCUGGUUUCCAUUUCUGCUCUUUCUAAUUCAGUUGUCUACCACACGCAGACAUUCCUUCCCCUGACUCCUUCAUUCUCGAUGGCUAAAGUCAUCUUUGCCUUGUCUUAUUUCUCUACCUACACACUAAGACAUCUUCCCCCAUUGAUCUUAACUAGAGUCUGCCAUCCUUGGACAUUUUCUGCAGAAGCAAACAUGCUACCCACUUUUAUCCCUACCCACUUUCUAGAUCACCCUUCCUUUUGUCUCUCAUUCCUAGAGUCCAAAUUGUGUGUGUUGUCCUGGAUUAGGACAGCUGACAGCUGUCUCUCAUUUAAUUAAAGCUGAAGUCUCUCAUUUAAUCCUAAGCAGAGGGCUAGGGGAGAACUGAAGUCCCCUUCCAAUAUCAAGGGACAUAGUUUACCAGGAGGGUAAAGGCCUCUAACAGUCCUGCAUACUUUUCAGAAGUUAAAUUAUUGUCAGGCCUAAGAAGCCCUAUUGUGACUGACUGUAUUUGCAUAGACUUAUCAGUUCAAAUAAAUGCACCCGUUUCACCAAGUCAUCCUGAGAAAACUGGUCGUUCUCUUGUUUCUACAGAUGAGUUUUUCUGAUGUGGUGAAUAGUAUCGAACACACACACACACUCACGCUAUUGUGGGGUGUGAGCCAUUCAAAAGUAUGGGCUGUUUGCUUAAAAAUUCGUAAGUGAAUCUUGUAUUUCUUAAAUGGAAGCAUUUGAAUUGUGCUUUCUUUUUUUUACAAAAAAAGUGGUGAGAAUACUAUAGUGCAACUGGAGAAUACAAGUAGGAUGAAUAUAAUGAUAGGAUUAAUUUAUUUUACCUUGGAUACAGUCCUCAUUUGGGGGAAUUUAUUUAAUUGGUAACUUAAUUUAGGUAAAGAGGCAUUCUCUUUGGAUUUGAUUACUGUGGGAUUUUUAUAUAUACUAUGAUGCAUUGUGAAUUACUGUAACACAAUAUAAAAUUGGGUAAUUUUAAGUCACAUGAUCCAUUUGGAUAUUUUUAUCCCAGCUACAAUGAGUUUGCUGAGAAAUGCUCAUUAACUGGCACUGUUUUUUUUAGGUUGGAUUUUGUUUGGAAAAAAAACCCUGGAACUACAUCAAAGAUGAUUGGAAAUGUAAUUCUAAAGUACUUAAUAUAACUGCAGUGGAGAUGUGCUGUGGCUUCCAGGUCAUUACAGUGCUUGGAUUACAACAUUGUUGUGAGUCAUCACUCUGCAAUGAAUGGGGAUUUGGGGGUUAAAAUUUAACAAAUUUUCUUGAUCUUUUCCCUAAAAACCUAUGCAGAAACAUGGAUGAGUGAUUUGAAAAAAAAAAGCAUCUAUGUUAAUAAUUUGGGGGUAAAAACAGAUGAAAAUAUAAAAGCAAAUGAUGAAUUUAUCAAAAAGAAACAAGGACCAGAUGGCAUAAGUAUGUAGGAAUGGGUAGCUCAGAGAGAUGGGGGAAGUAGACAAAGAUGUAGAGUGAAGCAGAGAGUCUCACAUUUGUCACCUUUUGUGUGUCCCAAACUCCCGUAUGUAAUAAAUCCUUUAUGUCUGCCCCACUGUCAUGAAAUCUUUAUAGGACCAGCCUAUGGAGAAUACAAAGGAAUGAAACAAUGGAUAGUCAGUGUUCUGGAUAAAUAAUUCAUCCCUUUGCUAGGACCUGGCUUCCUACUGCAUUUAGAAUAAAAUACAAACUUCUACAUUACCUCCCAGGCCAGAUGUGACCUGCCCCUGCAAAACUUCAUUUCUUAACCACUUCCAUCCUUUUUCUCCAAGCUCUAGCCACACCUGCUGUCUUUAACUUCCUCGGACUUGUUACAGCAGUUCUUACUACAAAAGGAAUUUUCACUGCUAUUCUCUCUGUCUGGAAUGCUUUUCUCUUAGCUGAAUCUUUCCUGUAAUAUAGGUAUCAAUUAAAUUUUAAUUCCUCUUCCCCCAACAGACUUUCCGUCCCAUCUAAAGCAGUCUUUCCCCUUCCCAACCACCAGGUCAUCUAUCACGUUAUGCAGUUUGAUUCCCUUCAAAGCUCUUAUUACCUGAAAUGUAUUAUUUUUUGUUUUUUUCCUCUAUUCUACACCCCCCCAGAAUAUAAGUUCCAGAAUAUCAGGGGCCUUCUAGGCUUCAUUCACUGCUCUAUCCCUAGAACCUAGAACAAUACCUGAGACAUAGUAGGAAAUGAAUGAGAGAGAGAGAGAUGGUGGUAGUAGAGGGAGAAAGAAAGGAAGAAAGGAAGGGAGAAAAAGAGCAAAGGGAUCCACAGUGGAACUGCCUCCAGAAAAAAAUACUGGAAGAAAAGAAAUGGGACUAGGGAAGAAAAUUAGAAAGAGAGGAACAAAGAGGGAUCCAGGUAGUGAGGGCUGGUUAUGAUGUACAAUUUUGACACCUGUAAAAAGAAGUUUUUUAUGUGUUUUCCAGGCAAAGGGAGUGACAAAUGCAAAAAGGAACUUUUUACACCACCACACAGCUACUUUUUUCUCUGUUGUUAUUAGGGUUUUGUUUUCAGGUGUGUGUGUCGGGGU